rnacentral:rRNA from 1 species
UACAGAGGAUGCAAGCGUUAUCCGGAAUGAUUGGGCGUAAAGCGUCUGUAGGUGCUUUUUAAGUCCGCCGUCAAAUCCCAGGGCUCAACUCUGGACAGGCGGUGGAAACUACCAAGCUUGAGUACGGUAGGGGCAGAGGGAAUUUCCGGGUGGAGCGGUGAAAUGCGUAGAGAUCGGAAGGAACACCAGUGGCGAAAAGCGGCUCCUGGUCCAGCACCGACAUUCAGGCACGAAAGGCGUGGGGAGCAAACAGGAUAGAUACC